ACUGAUUUCCAGUACAGAAUCCAGUUUGAGACCUCUACUUGUUGAAUUAGAAGCAGUGCAUUGAUGAGCCUGAGGCUAAUUCAAGUAGCUGGGCCUGAGAUUCUGUGAAAAAACAGAAAAAAACACCCAAUUUGAAAAACUUAAGCUGAUGCUUGGUAUAAAUAGAACAGUAAGGAGCAGAAGAGAUAUUCAUAAGCUGCGCUGUAUUUCUGCAAGUGGGAAAGGAAUGCAUUAAACAAAUACCAUUUCUUAUUAAUAAGAUUGACUGCACCUUUUUCUCAGCUUAGCUUCACAAAUCUUGUAAUUCUGUG